UGCAUCGGCCGGGAAUCGAACCUGGGCCGCCCGCGUGGCAGGCGAGCAUUCUACCACUAAGCCACCGAUGC
rnacentral:tRNA from 1 species